UGAGGGUCCCAACAACCCAUCUCUAUUUCAUAGUGGACAAUCCUUGACUGACAAAACUCUGGGGGGAAAAUAAAGACCAUGAACUCCUCCAUCCAACAUGGCUGGAAUUAUGAGACCAAGUAAGUUGUUGCUCCAUGCUCCUCCUGCACAGUCAGUUUCCCAGGCCUGCCACCCAACCUUCCCUUUCGAAACAGCAAAGAGAGGGUAGAGAUCUACCUUUCUGUACCGGGGAACAGCAGGUAGGUGGAGAGUGAGAGAGGUACAAAAAGGGGCAAGACUGUUCUGAUUAGCUACACUACCAGUAUUUUAUCCUCUGCCCUUUUCAGCCACUAACCUGCAAAAGCAUUAUUCCCUCAUCAAGCUAAGCUGGUGUGCGUGGUACCAAAGUAGGUCUUAAUUCAGACAGUGGGGCUUGUCAGAUGAUACAGGGAAGCAGGAUUUGGAGUUGAG
rnacentral:lncRNA from 1 species